rnacentral:rRNA from 1 species
CUGACCAUUAUCAAUGUUUAUGCUCCUACGGACCACUCCCUAAAAUCAGCUUUCCUCUCGGAGCUCGCCAUAUGCUCCCCUCCUGCUAACUCGCCCUGGAUCAUCCUAGGGGACUUUAAUCUCCUACGCCACCCGUCCGACAAGAAUACCGUUGGCUUCCGUCAAUCUGAGGCUGACAUGUUCAACGCCUUCAUCCACGCACAGGCCCUUAUUGAGCUUCCCCUUCUUGAUCGCAGCUUCACCUGGUCCAGCAAA